rnacentral:lncRNA from 1 species
CAACAGUUGCACUUCAUGAAACCAUUUAAAAACAGCAUGGACAUAAUGGUUAAACGAUCCCUCCUCAUAUUGUUUCAUCCAUUUGCUGUGUGUAUCAGAUGUUUCCUAAUAAAGAGGUGGGGUACACACUGGACAGGUUGUCAUGCUGUGGCAGAGCUAACAUAGAGACACAGAGGCAUCAUGAACUGCAGGGGGAUGUCAAGUACCACAAAUACAACUGUCAGUGGUGACACCACCUAACAGGAUCACAGAGCUCCCCACAAAGCAGUGACACGCCCACCUGAAACUCUUGAUAUCAACAUAAAUUCAAACUGUCAUUUAUUCAUGUGUUCCUGUCGUCUACAACAUGGACAUUUUCACAUAUGGUCACCUCAGCUUUUUGAUAUUUCUGCUUUGGAUCAAAGGUCUAACCGAUGCCAAGGAUGUCACACAAACUCCCAUGCUGUGGGAACAACAGGGUAAUAAUGCAACAAUGGACUGCAGCCAUACCAAGGGUGCUUCCUAUUUCCAGAUGUACUGGUACAGACAGCUUCCAGGAGAAAAUAUGGAACUGAUUGUGUUCACGACAACAGCCAAAAAAUACGAUCAUGACUUUGGAAAAUUCAAAAAAGAGAAAUACUCAGCCACAAAGACUGAGGCUCGUGAUGGGACAUUUACAGUGAAGAACCUGCAGCCAAAAGACAGUGGCUGGUAUUUCUGUGCCGUCAGUGAGCACAGUGAUACAGACUCAUGUGAAAGCUGAACAAAAACCUCACUGAAUGGUUGGCACAAGUGUUGCAAUUAUUUCCUGUACUGUAGGGGGACCUCAAGUACAACUACAGAUCAGAGGAUCAUAUGAAGGUCUUCAUCUUCCCACCACACACACAUUUAAGUUUUGGUUCCUCUGAACAGGAUGAUGAUCACAGCUGGCUGGAUAAAACUCUCUUCAAUGCUCUGUUUGCAUAUAUGAAGCUUCCACAUAAAUGACGGCAUGAAAAACCAUUCAUAGAAAAUUAUAAACUCAUAUUCACAGGCUCAUUAAGUCAUUCAGUAGAUACAAACAAAAUUAAUCAGUAAAAUAAAUAAAGAUAUAUUUAGUUACAGUUUUAAAUGACCGGUUAAUGAUAUGACAUACAGAACCAUAUACACACACACUGAAAUUACUGCCAACCAUUAAGUUAAAAAAAACAAAAUAAAACAAACAAACAUAUUUCACUCAAAGACAGCCCA